UUAAAAAUAAAUAAUUAAUCAAUAAUAAAAGAUAGGUCACUGAAAAAAGACAGAGUGAAAUAAAAUAAUAAUAAAAGCAAAAAUAGGAUAUAAAAUAGUCAACCAGAGCGUAACAAAUAACUGGAAGGUGCAAUUACAAACUAUCCCUGAUUUGAUACAGGGUAGCAGAUAGUUGCGCCAGAAUGCUCUACUUUAUACUAAACAACGAUGCAAGUAACAAUAUGGCAC